GGUGUAAUAUUAAAAUCUUUUCAGUAGAUAUAGGAUAUAGUGUUAUUUGAUGAAAUGUUAUUUCAAUAAUAUUGCUAAAAUACCGACCGUCCCUAGCGCAAGUGGGAAAAGGGCUUGGUAGUUGGUACGCGAGACUCAAGUUCGAAUCCUAGUUAAUUCAUUUUUCCAGCUAAGUUUAUUUCUAAAUGAAAUAAACGAAACGGGUAGCAUGCUACCUUUUCUCAAUAAUAAUAAUAAUAAUAAUGUUGCUAAAAGAAGCAUU
rnacentral:lncRNA from 1 species